rnacentral:misc_RNA from 1 species
AACAGCAGAACUUACUCUGCUUCAUUAUAAAAUUGCCAGAGAAGAUAAUCCAGGGGAAAAGCCAUUGUCCAAAUACAGUCCAGAACAAGAAUUUUUUAUUGUUUUAAGCAAAAAAUUUAUUAAGAGGAAGAUUUAGGUAAGGGAAAAACCACCUGUGGCUAGAACCCAAGAGCCAGCAGGCCCUAAACCCCAACACCCACCUAGAACCAUAGCCAACAGUUGAUAAAAAAAACCCCUUACAAUUACAAACACAGCAAAGAACAACCAACAGUUGCAACCCGAAACACAGCAUACACCAACCUAAACGCAUGAUGUUACAAAAUGAUUUGAUUCACUGCAAGUUCAUAACCAAGCUCUGCUAGCCUUUUUUCAAGAAAAAAAAAACAUGAAGAAAUGCUCAUAAACCUCAAACGUUUGUUUACACAAUUCAAGCUGAAGAAGAAAUUUUAGCGAGUUGAUUGAAAUUUGACAAAAACUAAAAGCCAGAAUCGUUCACAAACGGAUGCUUCAAAAGCUCAUCAGCAGUUUGACGCUUAUUUGGAUUGCGUUUCAGACACUGCUUGAUAAAAUCUAGUGAAUUCUCUGACAAAGAAUAAUUAGGAAGAUGAUCUAUAAUUGACCCUUUUUGAACUUCCAAUUCUAGAUUUGCAUUCAAAUUUUUCAAAUGAGAGUAUGGAAUAUUCCUGAUUAACAUCUCCAAGACGGUGCAGCCAAAGCUCCAAAUAUCAGCUUUAAAUCCAUACUCUUUGUCCUGUUUUAUAACCUCCGGGGCCAUCCAAUUUAUUGUCCCAUGCCGAGACUUCAUAAGACUAUUUAAUUCAGCCACUCUUGCCAAUCCAAAAUCCGUAAUUUUCACACAUCCUUUCUCAUCCACCAAUAUAUUUGCACAUUUAAUGUCUCUGUGGACUACCUUUCGCUCAUGAAGAUACUUCAAACCUUCCAGUAUC